AUAUUAUUCUCUUACAGGAUAUUUUUUUGCAUCAUCUUCUUUCUCUGUGCUUGGACUGAAGGGGAGUUCCUUCUUUCUGUUGCCUCCAUUAUUGUUAUGUUGGUAAAUGGGCCAAUGCAACAAAUGAGCUGACCAAGGGAACUCCUUAUACAUAUCGGUUUCGUGUCCGCAAAGGAAAUUUAAAAAUGAAUGACAUAAUACUUGGCGAAGUGAGUUCUUACUGCCAUUUCUAGAUUCAAUAAUGGGCAUAUGCUUUAAUUAAACCACUGUUCAUUCUUCGAAGAUGAUUUAUUUUAAUAUUUUUUUGUUUCCUACGGUAUCUCUCAAUUCGACUGGCCAAGGACUAAUCCGUUGCAAUACUGAACUCCAUUUAAGGGUUUGCUAUUGGCCAAUGGGUUGCUGCAUGCACAAGGCGGAAUUCGAACUCCCGACACUUGCUUAAGCGGACUAGUGAGCUAACCACUAGACCACCCAACUUAAUUUACACAUCUCUUAUUUAUAUAUGAUCUUUGCUGCAAUAAUUUGUUGAUUCUAGGGCAUUGAAAUGUAUGUCUUGGGAAACUGGGCAGAAGUUGCUGAGCAUGUUGCGACAAACAUUAUAUAGAUCACUGUUUAUGAUAUAUUAACUUUGGAAAUAGAUUCUCUCGAUUGUUAAAAAAAAUUGAAAGUAUAUAUAAAGCUUGAUCCUUAUCUCAAUUUUCUACCACAGUUAAAGAAGCAACUUGUACAUUUAUGUUGGAAUCUUAAAACAAGACACAAAUUGUUCACCAAAAUUCUACUAACUUGCAAAUUAAAAACUACAACUAAGUCUUGAUUAGAAAAAUGUUUGUUUAUGAAAUAUAAUAUAAUUAAACUUGGAUGGUUAGCUUGCUAUUAUUAUAGCUACUUCAUUGUUUAGUUUUGGAACCAAUCCAAGAGAAUUUUCUUUUUUUACUUCUUAGCUUCUUUUCUAUCUUUUUCAGGAAACAAGGAGAAGAUAGUGUUGACAAAGAGAACUAGUUGAAGUGAAACCAGAUAUAUGUGGUGCAGCAACUUCAAGUUUUCAAAAUCAAAAGAUCAAUGUAGAUUUACAGGUUUAGUGUUGUAAGAUAUGAGUAGUAAAUAUACCAUGAAUUAUGAAUUUGGAUUGUGAAUUGUAAGCCAUCAAUGUAUAUUUAGAUUGUGAAUUAUAAAAUUUGAUAUAUUUAUGAAUUUGUCUCUUUUAA